rnacentral:rRNA from 1 species
UACGAAGGGGGCUAGCGUUGUUCGGAAUUACUGGGCGUAAAGCGUGCGCAGGCGGCUUCUCAAGUCAGGGGUGAAAGCCCAGAGCUCAACUCUGGAAUUGCCUUUGAGACUGAGUGGCUUGAGUACGAGAGAGGUGAGUGGAAUUCCCAGUGUAGAGGUGAAAUUCGUAGAUAUCAGGAAGAACACCCGUGGCUAAGGCGGCUCUCUAGUACGGUACUGACGCUGAGACGCGAAAGCGUGGGGAGCGAACAGG